UUAACUCAUAUUUGUAUGGAAUGGGAUCGUUUGCCUACGUUUGCCGCUAGGGGCGCUGUUCCAACUGCAUACAAAAUUGGGUUA
rnacentral:pre_miRNA from 1 species